GUCCACGCCGUAAACGAUGGAUACUAGCUGUUCGGGGCAACCUGAGUGGCUAAGCGAAAGUGAUAAGUAUCCCACCUGGGGAGUACGUUCGCAAGAAUGAAACUCAAAGGAAUUGACGGGGCCCGCACAAGCGGUGGAGCAUGUGGUUUAAUUCGAUGAUACGCGAGGAACCUUACCAAGGCUUAAAUGUAGAUUGACCGGUUUGGAAAACAGACUUUUCGCAAGACAAUUUUACAAGGUGCUGCAUGGUUGUCGU
rnacentral:rRNA from 1 species